GCCGCUAUGCAUUGCAUUUUGUCUUCACAGAUAAUUUGGCCAAAUUUAUUGUAACUAGAGAGUGCAAUCGUGCUUGGGGCCCAACCCAAUGUCAUCACAUGGCUGUGGUGACUAGUGUAUAUCUGGGAGAAUUUUUCCUCGACUGAUACGGAGUGCAGGUGGAUCGAUUAUGAGAAAUGCGAACAUGUGAAGUUCAAGGCUAGAUGCACUUCACAUUCGGCGUGCGAUCUCAGCGUCUGGGACCUGAUGAAGUCUUGGUUGGAUGAUUAUUCAAGCCUGACACUACUCGACACACCAAUGUACAUGUCACUGUAAUUUUUUCAGAGCUGCACUAUUUACGUGUUGAUGCUUACUUCGGUGUUAGCGUGUUUCCCCCGGAUUGUUUCUAUCAUCAUGAUCGUGUGUUCUUGGGCUGAGCGAGCACAUGCACAAGUGUGCAGCUUUAACCCUGUGUAUCUUUGGUUACACUUUGUUCUGCAAUGCAUGUACCUUGUAACAUUAUGUGCUUGCACUGCUUUGUCUGGCCUGCGUAUUUCAGGACUAUUCAGUGCAUUAGACCCAGGUUUGUUUGGUUGCCGGAUGAUCUAUUGUUGCGUCGCUCUGUAUUUGUAUUCA